GCUGUGGUGUCUGAGCUUGUGAACCGCUACCUCCCGUGCGGUGCGGUUUACGGUUUUGCCCAAGGUGUCCGUUAACUGAAGGAAAUUGCACCACUUCAUCAGAGAACUAGAGUACUUUCUCUCAGCAAGGCUGAGAAUAGACCUGAGAAACUGGCAGGUACAUCUUGUUCCAAAGUCCUGUGUUGCGUACUGGUUGUGGGCAUUGCAGAGGCCUAGUUGAGGAUGCACUUCUUGGAUUGUGGUCUGGGAGUUGGUCAAUCUCCUGGAUGUGUGGUGGUUGAAGGGCCAACUUGAGAACCUCAUCUGAACUAAGGCGCUUACUACCUUGUGUUGGUUUCCUGCAGCAUGUCUUCUGUCGUGAAGUGGGAACCACAUCAUGAGGCUGCAGGCAGACACUGCCUAGGUGGAAGCUCUGCUCUGUGAAGGAGAAUUGGCUGCUUGGAUCUGCACAGGCAUCAUGACUUGGACCUACUCCUGAGGCAUGCCACCCCCUGACUGGAUUUGAGGUGCCAGUUAAUUCUGGUCCUGACCAUCUGUCCUAAAAUGGGUCCAUACAGACCUUGUGUGCAUACAGGUUUGAAAUCCUUGGCAGCAGUCCUGGCCAGACACGGAUGAAAAAGGGUCCAUACAGAAAAACGAUCUGAAUGUGUGCUGAGGAGUGGGGAGGUCCAUGCCACGUUUCCGGACCUGAUUUCAACGAGGUUGCCUGCAUCCUCAGUGAUUUGGGUCCCAGCUACCCCCAAGCUCUACUCCCUCCCUGUCUGCGUCAAGACUUUUUUUUUUUUUUUUUUUUUUUUUU